GAACAAGUUAUGAUGGCAAAUACAGAAAGAGAAGUACAGUUGCCUGAAAAUCAAAUUUAAUUGCUUAUCCUUCCUCUCUGUAUGCAGCUGACAGGCUGUGGGUGGCUAAUGAAUCCAUGCUGUAAGGCAAUGCCUUCCCUCAGACCUGGGGCUGCAGAGCCACCAGCUGACACCCGCCAGCCAGCUUCCUUUUCUGCCCUCUUCCCUCUCUGGUGGAUUGCUCAGUGGGUCACUCAAACUCACAUCUCUCUCUGCCUCACAUGUCAUUGAUUCUUAGCUAAUUUAGGAGGCAAUUUCAAAGUUGUUCUGGGUGAUCAAAAGCCCCUACUAUUUUGGAGAUGCCUACUUCCCUUUGGCAGACUUGGUACCAAAAUCCCCUGUACUUAAUGAGGCAACUUGAAACUCAUUGGGCACUGAGAAGUGAUUUACAUUUGUGGUAAGACAGUGUCCAAAUCUGCACUGAACCUAUACAUGUGUUGUACUUUAUACAAACCUAUAAUGGAGAUUAAUGCUCGUGGCUUAUUGCUGACCCUUGAUAAGCACCAUGCGUGAUAAAUUGAUUUUUGGAUCACUUUAGGACGGUGAUAGAUUUGGGGUGUUUCAUUUCAUGUCCUCUGUUUUAGAGAUACUCUGAUAGUCUCUAAAUCAGUUAAAAAUCUUGGUACUUGUCUUGAUGGCUAAGUUGAUGUUUGAGAUCAGUUUAGUAAGCCGGCUCACACACCUUAGACAGCUUAAUACAUCAGACUGGCUGUACCUCCAGGACUGAAAUGGUUUAAAAGUUAUCUUUCUGACCAUGACCAUUGAGAUCAUUUUAUUAUUUACUGAAAACUGAUCACAUAAAGUGUAAAAUCACCACAAGGGAAGGAGCCUGUAGCUGAUCAGAGUUUUCUUGAAUACUUGGGAAUUCAAAAUACAAUAUUUUUAAGUCCCAUAAUUCAUGUUUUGAAUGGGAUAUUUUAUUGUUGCAGGCAAGAAAUUCAAGUACAUGACUGUCCAGUUACCAAGAACUUCCACUGUGUGUAUUAUGGUUUGGAAGAAAACAGCUGCAGCCAUGGCUGUACAUGACCCACAACAUGAUCUUUACUCCAUCACCUCUCCAAGACAAAACCAAGGAAAGACAUUUGCAAUCACCACUGGCAUGUAUUGUUUGUAAUAAAAGGUAAAACUCAUCUCUAGUCCUGAAGCAAGUAAUUGUACAAGUUUUUAAUCACAGUGAUAGAAAAGAUUUGAAUUUGCUGUGGAAAAUAAAUUUCCAGGUGGAUAUACUAGAAGCA
rnacentral:lncRNA from 1 species